AUGGAACUGGAAUUAAAAGUGCCAUCGUAGCUAAAAGUGAAAAACACGACUUACAAGAGCCUGCUCUACCUGCCACCUCAAGAUUAAAUGAUGGUGAUAUUAAUAAUGACACAGGGAGUCCAGUGGCACCACAACUAGAAGAAACAGAAUAUCUUCUGAGUUCUGAGGGUAGUAUCCAGCGGGAACAACACAAAAAGCAUGCUCUAACACCAAUAGCAAAAAAGGUAGUCUGAUCAAAAGAAUGUUCUGUCCUUUUGGAGUAAAACAAGCUGCUGUCAUUGUUGCAUUAUUCAUCAUUGUUGCUUUGUCAUUGUUCGUCACUGAUCUUGUCAUGAUAGGAGCCAAAUAUGGGCACAGUAAGGAUUUAGUGGUCAGAAAUGAUUAUGUUCUCCUUAAAGCAAAUUCCAGUGGUCUCUAUUCAGCGAUGAUAGCUUUCAACAAUACAAAUUUCACAAGUGAUUAUAUUCAGCCAAACAUGAUUACUUAUAUUUACCAAGUUUCAUGCUACGAGGUCCAUAAGCUGUAUGAAUCACAAUUUAAACAUCAAUCCUUAAGAGUAGCAUUUAAUGCAUGUGGAAUCUACAUCAAUAAGUGUGUUCUGGAUGAAUAUUGGUAUUGCUCAAAGAGUAAAGAUGCUUUGAUGUUCUAUGCAUUCGAUUUUACAUCCGUAAAUUGAAGAGAGGAGCUCAAAGUCAUAGUUUUUGAUGAUGCAGUGAACUAUAUGAACUAUCUGUCUGGGAAAAAAACCUUUGAAGGAGCUCUUUAUACUAGAGAUGUGCCAACUGAUAAAAGCUAUUGGGAAUUUGAUUUUACUUCAGCUCGAAUGAGAAAGGAAGCAUCAUAUUAUUUCUUUGUUAUUGCUGACCUCAAAGGUGGAACAGAACCAUUCUUCAUCACGAAAUAUGAAAUAAGGACAUAUUUUAAUGUAAGCAAGUUGCUACCAAAUUGCAAAGUUAAGAACAAUGAGUCUUGUUCAAGCAAUAUCGGACUCACUACGCACAACUCAUGCUUCCUGGCACAAGCUCAAGGUGAAUAUAAUGCAUCGUCUUAUGGUUCAAAGGAUAUGGUUUACGUCAGCUAUAAACUUAAAUAUCGCUCAUGGUCUAUUCUAUUUAUUGCCUCAUUGUCAUUAUUUGGGGCACCAAUCAUUACUUUUAUUGGUUUAUGCAUACUUAAAAGUAUUUCCUGCCAAAAAUAGGUACAGUAGAUAUUUGUAGUAUAGCUAUGCUGCUGUCAGUGCUACAACAAUUUUUGACACGUUUUUUGCAUUUUAAUGAUUUUUUAUUGAUAAUUAUGAAAUGAAUUUUAAUUUCCUAGGCGGGGUCUCAAGCGACACAUUUUGUCACAUGGGUAAUGAAGGUUGGUGUAUAGCAAAGAAUAAGCAUAAGAGACAUUGUGCCAACUGCUGUGUUUAUUUCCUGUCACGACUCACAAUUUUUAGUUUAUACUUUUGUUUGUUGACAUAAACCCUAAAUUGCUACAGCUUCAUGUCUUAUGUCA